CGGGGCUUAAUGUCUUGUAAUUGGAAUGAUGGGAAUUUAAACCUCUUCCAGAGUAUCAAUUGGAGGGCAAGUCUGGUGCCAGCAGCCGCGGUAAUUCCAGCUCCAAUAGCGUAUAUUAAAAUUGUUGCAGUUAAAAAGCUCGUAGUUGAACUUCUGCUGCAUUGCUUUAUCUCCUUGAUGAGUUGAUGCAUUGUGGCUUAUUUCGGUCGUGGUUUUCCUCGUCCGGAUUUUUACUUUGAGAAAAUUAGAGUGCUCAAAGCAGGCUUUUGCCUUGAAUAGUUUAGCAUGGAAUAAUGAAGUAGGACUUUGGUUCUAUUUUGUUGGUUUUUGUACCAAAGUAAUGGUUAAUAGGAACAGUUGGGGGCAUUCGUAUUUAACUGUCAGAGGUGAAAUUCUUGGAUUUGUUAAAGACGAACUACUGCGAAAGCAUUUGCCAAGGAUGUUUCCAUUAAUCAAGAAC
rnacentral:rRNA from 1 species